AGAAAAAAAAAAAAAAAAAGAAUUUUGCGCCCCUGCAUUCUGCUCUAAUUCUGGCUAAACCCAAAUCCACUGCCCGCUUGGGUCGAGUACUUAAACCCAUACGGGUCAAUCGGGUAAGAGAAGUUCUGAGUCAAUAGGCUUGAAUUUUGUUGAAAUAACCCCGAGUUUCUUACACCGCUUUGAACCUCCUCUUCAACAGAGUUGUUGCCUAACUUUGAAUCCAUGUGUCCUAUCUGCGCCGGUAACGAAGGGACAUACAGGUCGUUACCGUUAUUCACGCAAUUCACCAUCCCUCGAGUUUGAGCCUGAGUUUGCCCGCUCUGAACGAUUUCAGGCACCGAGUUAUACCCGGCAAGACUCGCCCAAUCAAGUUUACCAGAACCCAGACCGUUGAAGUUGAUUUUCUCUUCAAGGGGUUGCAUUGUUCUUAGUGGGUUGGUGCCAGGAUAUGCAAAGACGUGGUCAUCAAUCUCGGGCAACGAGUCCAAAACAUCAUCGAGAUGAGAAGACGAAGAAGAAGAAGAUCCAUUGUUGCUAUGUUCUUUGCUUGAAACACCUGAGAUGGAUUUUUGGGCACCCGGAUUCUUCUUAUAAAUUCGACAUAAAACCCAAUCAUCAAGCUUAGAGCUUCCAUUUUUGCGAGAGGAUUCGAAAAGGCGGUACUCGUGCAUGAUCCAAUUCGUUUUGGUCCCUUUUGGAGCUUUUCCGACGUAGAACACUAAAGCUUUCUUGAUACCAACUUUCCGCCCCUCUGUGGUGAUAAUUUUAUCGGUACCAGUGGCUUUCCAAUACCCGGAUCCUGCAACACGAUUGGGUCGGGACCCGUUUGGAUACUUGCGGUCUCUGGGACUAAAAAAGUACCAUUCUUUCUCACCGAAAAUUGCUUUGCUUGGUAGGACCCAUGGAUCAAACUUGUACAAAUCAAUUUCACCAAUGAUUUGCAAAGAGAAUUGAUGACCAGCAACUUUCCUACACAAAUAUUGCACUAGAAGCUCCUCAUCGGUCGGGUAGAAACGAAAACCCGGUGGUAAGGUCAAUUGAGCGAGCGGGUCAGUUUCUUGCACUCCCAUUUUCAGGCCGCAAAUUGCAGAGCUCAAGACACAGGAAAACAAAGAGAAAUGUUUGUUUGGCCGAAGAAAAAAUGGAGCUAGAAUUUUCUACUUUCUUCCCCUUUUAAUAUUUUUUCUUUUGGGACUUACGGCAUCGGAG
rnacentral:misc_RNA from 1 species